GACUGGGGCCCCCAGAUUUUGUUCUCCUGUGCUGCAUAGGGGACCAGACUUGACACCCCAGGCUUCAUUUUCCCUGGGAGCAUCCAUAAAGGCGUAGCCAAAGGCUGAAGGCUACCCGGAUAGGUGACAAAGUUUUUUAAAGGAAUCCAGGCUGUCAUGUUGAUCUCAGGCCCAGUGAAGUUACGGCUCACCUAAUCUGGGAGGUGCUAGGAGAUGGGGGGACAGGGGAAGAAAAAUACGCGAAGGAGCCGCUCUCUCAGAGACUUCAGCAGGAACAGAAUGCAUUUUGCUUCUGAGCUACUUUGCUAGCAUUGGGAUGAGCAAGGCAGUGGUGAGUGCCGAUCUGGUUUUGACAACAGGCACUUCCCGCAUCAAAUCGGAAUGUGGGCUUGCUGCUGUAGCUGAGAGAGCCGCUCUGCCCCCGUGCAGGGCUCUCUCCCCCACGCCAGCUUCUGGAGGUUCCAGACACCUGCUGGAGGGAGGAUUGGAUUUGUGACUGGAGCCCGCCAGCCAAGAGCAUCCAUUAAAGUCUUUGACAACAUGAGAGAACAUUUAAGCGACCAUUCCAACAGAGAAACUUCUACUUGGUUUUGGAACGAUAGCUGGGAGCCAGUGUUGGUUUAUGUUCUUCUUGUAUGUGACACACGUAAGACUUUUUCCCGCUGUGGAGACAAGGUGAACCUCUACCACUAGACAGCUUUCGCCGGGCCUGGGCUGAAUAGGUUUUGAAUAGGUUUUGGCAAAAGGCUUGCCUCAGUUUCUGUCUUGAUAACCAGCUUUUUUGGUCCUUAUAUUAGUCAUACAUUGCUGCACAACAGAUUACUUCAAACUCAGCUUAAAACAACAUUCAACACUUAUUAUGUUACCUGGUUUCUCUGCGUCAGGAGUUUGGGAGCAGCUUAGCUGGAUGGUUCUUGCUUGGGCGUCUCUUCAGAUCACACUUCAGACGACUGCCACCAAGGGGUGCUCGUUCAGGGGUAUUGGUCAGCAGAUCACAUGUAAAAGAGCUUUCGAGGUAGAGACUACAGCACCUAGAGAGGAAACGGCUCAUUCUCCAGUCGUAGGUGAGUGAUGACAUUAACCAGCAUGACAAAAAAAAAAUCUUGUCAAAAUUACUUGUGGACUAAAACAAAGGACACAUUUCCCACUAGAACAGAAAUAAAUUUUAAUUCAUUGAAAAGUGCAGCAGUGAACAGGGUCUUUGGAAGGGCACUUUCUAAGUCAGGUGACUUGAGAUGACACAAAGCCACGGCAGAAUAACUUCUGGGAACAGAAGAUGCAAACGCAGGAAUUCACAACACUCAGUGUGGGACCCAAGUGGUGGUGUAAGUAGAAAACCCAAAUAUUCCCACCUGGGUCACUGGUGGAUCAGAAGUACCCUUUGCUUCCUCUUAAUAAGGACCCUGGAGAAAUCCUUCUUUAGUGCUUUAAAGCACUAAUAUUUAAUUUAGAUGCUAAAAAUAAAUUUAACAAUGUUUCUCACAGAUGAGGCUAUGACUUCCAUGGCUACUGUUACGAUUUUGUACAAAAACCUUAGUAUCGUGAAUUAAAAACGUACUUUGUAACAGUACCACUGGUCAAAUUCAGAGAUACUCAAUAAGGGGUUCCCCACUUUGUAUUUGAGGGAGACCUCUGUAAUAGGAAAUUUUGUAAGGCAGAAUAUUCAUUCCUAUGGCCUUGGAUCCCUCCUAAGGGUUAGUUUUCUACUCUGAAGGGUACCAACCAGUCCAGACCUGGCCUUCUUUAAAAGAGAAAAUAAUCAAAAUUCAAAUUCAUACAAUUAAGAGAGAAACAAGCCAAACCUCUUGCAGUGGGUUCCUUGUACAUAUACAUUCUGAAAAGUUCAGUGCAUUUUGUUGUCUGCUAGGCUAUAUAAACUGAGGCCUCUUCACAAAAGAUUUUAGCAUAGAUCCAGAAUGAAGCCAGUCUAAGAGAAAGUGAAAUUAUAGGCCACUCCAAGGUUAGUGGGAAGUGUACCACAUAUAGGAGAGGUACACAGGGAGGGCACCCGAUCCCCCCACCCAAACAGAAAUCGCUGAAUGUAAGAACAGUGUGGCAGGGACACUAUGGGCAGCUGACUUGUGUUGCUCUUACAACUUUACCUGCUCUCAGGAACCAGCAACCUAAAAUUGAAUAACAGGACAUCACAAUAGAAGACCUGGUAAGUAUUGGUGUCUUUUUAUUCGGGAAUAACUAUGGUCAACUUUCAUUAAGGUAGAAGUUGACUGAUUAAUGUUAAGAAUCAAAGUGUAGAAUAAAGCUAAUACCCAUAUUUAACAGUGUAGUUUGCUUUUAGUUACAAAAUAUUUAGAAUUUCUUUCCCUAAAACAUUCACAGCAGAGGUGUUCUUUCACUUGCCUCUUUCACCUCUAAAUACCACCACAGUUACUGGGAUUGCAUGAGGUAAAGGAAUAAACCCAAUGGCUAUUAACCCAACAUGGCUCUCUAGAGUUGAUAGAGAAGUUGUUUACGGCCAUGUCUUACAAAGUGCUUAAAGCUCAACCUAAGACCUUACAUAAAGCUAAAAUCACUAAUGCCUGAGUUGAACAGGUUAUAAACCACAGCUCUUCCUCCUCCCCCUGCUGUCCCACCACAGAUAACUUUCUUGUGAAGAAAACAGUAGAAAUGGGAUUGGUCUUUGAGCCCAGAAACAUACAAAUGUAGGUGUUCUAUACAGGAAACCUCAACAAGGUCUGGCUUUGCCAGGGGGAACAGUGAAUGCGGCUCAAAUUAUGCAAGACUCCAAACCCUCCAGAAGAACUUCUCUAAAAGGGAACAAGGUAGGGUAAAGCAGUUGGAACUUUGUAAAAACUGUAACAAAUGAACACAAUGUCCACAAAAUGCAGAGAGUCAAAAUUGAAACCCAGGCUCCCUGCUAGACAGGCACUUACUAAAUCCCAACAAUAGCCCUUCAACCUGUCCACCCAAGAGCCCCGUCUAUAGAAGGCCCUCAGAAAAUGCAACCUUCACCAACCCUUGGAAGUUCUUUUCCUCUACUGAGAAAUAUUAGGAUAGGAUACCUAAGCCAUUUUGUUUUUGGGAUCUCAGAGGAGUAAUUAUCAGGAGAAGAAACAUUCCCUUGAUACCUCUGUUGACUGGUACUCCAUGUGGUUAGCAGCCACCAGGAAGUCCACGGCUUUCACUUUUAGAACUACCUCGAAUUAUUAGCCUGUACCAAAAACUGUUCUAUUUAAGUGUAGCAUCAGCCCAGAAUGCAUAAAAAACAACAACAACAAAACCAAAACAACACGAACCGUGCUUGGCUGACAGGUUUUGAACUUGUGACCUUAUCACAUUGUGAUGGGUAUUAUACACACUGUAUUUCUACUAAUCUGAAAAUGGCGGUACUUGUUCUUGCUCUGAUGAUUCAGCUCUGAGGGUUAUUCUUCAAGCCAUGUGAUGUUGGUAUUUUUGAUAGUGAAGUGGUUAAGCUGUAAACCACCCCUCUGCCCCCAAGCAAGUAAUUCAGACUAUGACCACAUGGGGAAUAAUCAAGAACUGUGACCCCAGGACAGAAAGGGUGUGGGUGAGGACAAAGACCUCAGGAGCAUUCGUUAUUAGGUGAAUGAAGGGACAGCCAUUCCUGAUGUGUGGGCGGAGUUCACAGUUUAACACAUUGCACAAGGAAGUCAGCUGAUUGGGUUGCUUUUUCAAACAGGACUUAGAGCCAGUCCAGAAACUCUUCAAGGCGUGGUCUUGAGGACUAGCUACAGAAACCUACUACAAUCACUUCAUCAGACAGAGGUGUGCUGGGACCCAACUGCAGAGGUCGCUACAGAGGAUGUUUUGAAAACCUUCGAGUCCUGACACUGCCAUGAUUGUUGAACAUGAGACGAGGGUCAAACCUGUAUCUGAGAAGGAAAAAAAGAAAAAGGAUGUUACAUCAACUCCAGUUAGCUGCCAUGUUCCUCAUUCAGAAUGUUCGGUGGAAAGGAUGGCAGGAAGGAAAAUAAAAGGAACAAUUAAGUCCUCAGGAAUCUCGUGGCAAAGUCUGUAGUACAAAACAGAAGAACUUACUAAUUAAGAGCAUUCCCAUCACAAGCAAGCAAGCACAAAAUGAUGUAAAAUAAUCUUGAGAGGCAUUAGGAGGAGACAAGAUUUGAGCUGGUUUUUGAGGGGGAGGAGGACUCCCUAAGGUGUAAAGUAACUGAUGGCAGAGGCUAGCCCCUGUCAGAGCCUGACCAGCAGCUUCAGAGCCCUUCCUUCUCUUACAGUUCACACAGACCAGCAGGCAAGAGCACAGGUGUGCACCUCAGACAGACGUUUCCGUCCGGCUCAUUAUGAACUCAGUAAUCUCUAUACCCAACAUGGGGCUUGAACUCACGACCCCAAGAUGAAGAGUUACAUGCUCUACCUCCUAAGCCAGCCAGGUGCCCCUAGACAUCUAAUUUGAUUUGAUAAAACAUUCUGAGCACAGUUGUUGGAAACUGCAAAAUCAGCAUGUGUCAACUAAAAGUCUUGUGCCUUUUACUUUAGAGACUGAACUUCCUUCCUGCUUCAAGGAACUGGUGUAAGUGAGGAUGCAUUUCACUAUCUUGCAGAAGAGCUCCUGACCGACAUGGAUUUAGAAUUUAGAAGUAUGUAUACCGUAUUUAGAAGCAAAAGUAUUACAUUUCUUUCAUCAAAAGUCUAUUAUCCAGUGUCUCUACUCAUUCACAUAUAUUACUCUCUAAUGUGUACUGAAAAUAUUUCACAGAAGGCUGGCUAAAUAAUUAAGUUACUACUCAAAUUACUCCUUUCCAUCAGCUUAGGACAUCAAUCUCCCAUUUCUCCUACAAUCAAUGUAAGAACUAAAAUAAUCCUUUCCUGGUGAAAAUUCAACUUUAAAUUUCAUAAUCUUAAACCCAAAAUGACAGGUUUCUUGCUACAUGCAGCUGAAAUGCAUGGUGUGCUGAGACCCCACAUCACUGGGGAAGGGUAACUGUUCCAGAGGAAUGAGUGGGAGGGACAGAGCCCGCUUAGUAGGUGAUAACCUUUUCUGCCUUCAUAUACUACAGUGGGCUUACAUAUUUAAACAUUUGAAGUCUGUACCUUCUAAUUUAUUUUGUGUGUUCAGCCUACUAAGUUUACUGGCAAGCAUUCAAGUUCCUCUAAUCAGGGUUUCUGAGAAAUGAAAUGAAGGCAUAACCUCUUGGAGGUGCUAGGGAGACAGGUAGCAGGUGGUCAGCUCACUUUAAAGAAACUCCAUCUGUCACCAGUGCAAUCAAGUGGGUACCAUGAAAAGAGUCACAGGAGGAAGGGGAGGAAGAAGAGCCCCAUGUGGCAGGGAGCGGGGCUAGGCCUCCAGCUAAAGCAGCUACUGGCACCACAGAGCAGAAGUUUCAAAGGGCUCAUUUCCCCAGCACAACAGGCAAACGCACUAACACACAGUACUCCUACUACAAAGCAGAAGAACAAGAAACACAGCUUAGCUCAAAGCCAAAAGGACCCCUCAGGCUUCCUCUGCCUUCAAGCACACACGACUGCCACCCACCGACAGCUUGACAAAGCCAUCGAAGAAAAUGGGAACUUACCCC